rnacentral:tRNA from 1 species
GGGCGCGUGGUGGAACGGGCAGACACAGGGGACUUAAAAUCCCCCGCCUUCACGGGCAUGCGGGUUCGAAUCCCGCCGCGCCCA